CUGAACUUCUCUUUCCCUGACAGCUUCUCAAGGAAGUCGUAAUAGAAUUUCAUGUGGAAGGUCAUUCCAUCGAUGUGGAGCACUCCAAUGUCCUUGAAGACAACGGCAACGUUCUCCCCAUUCUUCAGGCAGCCAGAGAGCAGGGACACGGUGCUUUGGAUGCAAGCCUGCGCUGUCUGCCAGGUCACAGAGGCAGCUGCGGCCACCUCGCUGCUCUUGAGCGGCUCCAGCUUCCUAUGGGCUGAAAAAUGGGAGGGACGGAGUUGAUGAUACGCCGUUGCCUGAAUUGAUCUUCAAGUUGUUGACACAGAAACAACUCCUGUUCCAAAGGACUCUACGCGUAACGUUGAAGACCUGUUGCCAGAAGGUUUCUUUCCUUUGCCUGGCAGUUUUUUCCUUGAUUCUUUGUUGGAACGCUCACUGAAUUACCCGGCAUUGAUCCUCGACGUCAUUGUGGUGACUGCGUCGCACCCGCAACCCUAGCGGGCAGGGAGUGCUGUGUUUGGGGGAUCUGCACCUGCACUCCCCUUCUGCUGUCCUUUCUUCCCUGUAGCCUCGCUUGCUUUUGCAUUUGCACUUCUCUUAGGCUCUUGGUUCUUCCCUGUAUUCUCCCUGCUUUUCCGUCUGCAUUCUCACUCUUUUCCUGUUUUUUCUCUUCUGCUUCUCUUCUGCUGUUCUAUCCUCUGUGUAUCCUCACUGCUCUUUCAUCUCUAUCCUUGCUCUUCAGCCGUUUUUUUCCCCUGCUUCCUCUCCGUACUUCGUCUGCCCUGCUUUUCUUCCCUGUAACGUGACAUCUCUUUUCUUCUGCAUCGGCUCUCCUCCUCCUCUUUCUUCCCUGUAUUCUCCCUGCUCAUUCUCGGGCAGCUGUGCUCCUCUUCUGCUGUUCUUUCCUCCUUGUAUCCUCACUCUUCUGAUGGUUUCCAUUGCAUCUCACCACUGCUCUUUCACCUGCAUCUGCUUUUCUCUUCUGCUGUAUGUUUCCCUGCUUCCUCACUCCUCUUUCUUCUGCAUUGGCUCUACUCUUCUGCUCUUCUUUCUUCCCUCACUCUUUUUCCAUCUGCCCACCUCUUAGGCUCUCCCUUCUUUUCUAUCCUCCCUGCUCUUUCCUCUGCAUUCUCACUCUUCUCCUGUUCUUAUUCCCCUGCAUCAUCCUCAC
ensembl:lncRNA